UACGUAGGGGCAAGCGUUGUCCGGAAUCAUUGGGCGUAAAGCGCGUGUAGGCGGCUCGAUAAGUCUGCUGUGAAAGUCCAGGGCUCAACCCUGGGAUGCCGGUGGAUACUGUCGAGCUCGAGUCCGGAAGAGGCGAGUGGAAUUCCUGGUGUAGCGGUGAAAUGCGCAGAUAUCAGGAGGAACACCGGUGGCGAAGGCGGGUCUCUGGGCAGUGAACUGACGCUGAGGAGCGAAAGCGUGGGGAGCGAACAGG
rnacentral:rRNA from 1 species